GCGCCCUCUGGUGUAUUGAAAACGGCGCGAGAACGCACAAGUUUGUAAUCCUAGGUUGCAUGAUUUAUUACAUCUUUGCGGAUACUUUCAACUGAAAGAUUAAUUCUCAAGUGAAGAAGCUUUAAGUGGUAUUCAGUAUUGAACAUUACACAAGAUGGGGAGGAGAAAAAGUAAAAGGAAACCUCCUCCAAAAAGAAAAGCCAUUGAGGCUUUGGAGACACAAUUCACAUGUCCAUUUUGUAAUCACGAAAAGUCAUGUGAUGUAAAAAUGGAUAGACAAAGGAAUACUGGACAAAUAACAUGCAGAGUUUGUAUGGAAGACUUCCAAACAUCAAUAAAUUAUUUAUCUGAACCAAUUGAUGUUUACAGUGAUUGGAUUGAUGCUUGUGAAAAUGCUAAUCAAUAAAGAAAAUGGAUAACAGUGUUGGGCAAAACUUUGACCAAAUAGCAUUCUAACUGAACUAUUGUAUCAACUAUUCUUCUUAAAUAAUUUUCAAAAAGCACUAUAUAUGUGCAGUGGUGUCUAAUCUUUCAUUUCUUGGAAUAUUGAAUAUACAUUUAUAAAUAUUUCCAAUAUUAAUUAUGGUAAAACAUGCAAGUAGAAGUUAUAGUUUUAUAAUUUUUAUUAUCAUCAUCAACUUUGCCAUACAAAGGUUAAUCAUUUUGUUUAGUAAAUUUCAUAUGUAUAGAUCAAAAAUUAUUUCAGAUGUGUGUUUGCACUGCAAAGGGUAAAGGUAAAACUGUUCUUCAUAAGUUUUCUUUCUAUUUCUUUUGUACAUAUAAAGAGAUUAUACACAUAACUGAAAAUAAAGUUAAUAAUGUUUAUUUUGACAUUAUCCUGCAGUCAUUAAAUUUUUGAAAUGUACAUCAAUUUUCACAAUAUUCUUGGAGUAAAAAUGUACAAGCAUUACCAUUACUUUCCAGUGUCAUUUUUAUUUACAAAGAAGGAAUUCUUAAAUACUAAGAGCAUUAAAGUCUUAGUUUCAAAUGUGUAUUAAUUAUGUAUACUGGGUGACGUUAAAACAUACAUAAAAAAAUGUAUUUCCUGGCAGUAGUCUCUCAACUACUGCAGCUGGGCUCAACUUUAAUUUUAAAUUGAAUUUUGUUAUUCCUACAUAGAAAAAAUAUCAGAAUUAAUGGAAUAAUUUUAUUUUUCCAAGGCUUCUCCUUAUAUGUACCUCUCCAUAAUACAACAUAAAAAUAAUUAACCAAUUAAUUAAAAAAACUGAAAUUUUAUCAACUCACUAAAACUAGUCAAAGCAGGAGAUUUUAACUUAAUCAAAACUUAAAUUCAUAAAAUUUAAUCAUUCUGCUAAUGAGUGCUAAAAGAGGUUUUUUUUUACAGAAGAUAGUUAAUUUGCAGGAUUAAAAAUACACCGUAGAUGGACCUUUUAUUACAGGGCCUAAACACACACCUGCAUAUAUAUUGUUUUUAGUGGAAAAUUGAAGUAGGUGCUGAUUAAUAAAGGUACUUGUCACUUCAGUAAUGUAAUAAGUUAUUAGGUGAUUGUAGCAGAAUAAAUUAUGCAUUUGAGAUUAUGUAACACAGUUUCAUUGGUUAUUACUUCAUAAUAAUAAUAGUGAGUUUGUAAAUGUGGUCUGUGCCUAGAGGAACUUAAAAAUGAUUGAUAAUGUUAGUAAAAUGAUGGAAAUAUGAGAAAAUAUCACAGCUAGAAAAAGUACUUAAUUUGGUAUUUUAAUUCAAUGAAAAACUAAUAGGUGCAUAAUUAAGACUAUCAGCAGAAAUGAGAAUCUUUGACCUGAUUUGUCAAAGAACUAGUUUUUUAGAACAGAAAUGUUAAAUCUGAGCCAUUUUGGUACCCGAGGGAAUGGGUGAUUUUUAAAAAUGUACUGCAAAUUUAAAUAUUGAAAAUAAAAAUGCACAGCAAACCUAAUAGUUUAUUCUUAUAAACUGUGUCUUGUGAAAGAGUUUAGUUUUAUCAGCUAUAUAUAAUUGGAAUAAAACUAGUUUUUUGAGGAAGAAGAAAUAAGUUAAAAUUUUGGAAAGUAUGUUUUACCAAAUUUUUUAUUUUUGCCUGCACACAUACAGGUAAAACAUGUAAAAAUAUGACUGUUUUAUUAAGGAAAAUUCUUGUUUUACAUUUAUAAAGAGUACCAUAUAGAGUGAUUAUUAGUUAUACUUAGAUUUCCGUAUCAGGAUAUAAUGACUUUUGUGAAAAAGAAAUACCAAUAAUGUAGUACUCCAAAUAACUAAGAUACAAUAGAAUAUCUGUAUUUGCUUCUUACCUGAAAAUAAUAGAUUUAAUAAAGUUAUAAGUGUUAUAUUAUUCAUUUAUUGCUGUUCUUAUGAUUAAAAUAAUAAACUUAUGCAGAUAAAGUGACCGAUAAUUUUGUUAAAAUUGAGCCAGCUCCAUAUUGUGGUUAUCUAUCACACAUCCCAUCCAACUUUAAAUUGGAACAGUUGUUGUCCCAACUUUAUUUUUUUUUUCUAAUUUAGUAUUCCUUCUGAUAUAGGAAUAACUAAAUCAUAAUAAAUUGAUUGAAUAAUAAAAAAAAUUCUUAUGUUGGCACCAAAAUACACUUUUUUUUUUAUACAAAUAGUAAUGAAUAUUGCAUUCAGCGUGAAAUCCUUUGAACUCCACAAUCCCAUUUUUCAUUAAUGUUAAUUAUUGUCCCUAUGUGCAAAAGUUCAUUAUUUGUCUUGCAGGUGUUUUUAGUGGGUACAUUGGAAUUAUGGUAAUCUGUAUAAACUUUUCAUGCAAUUUCAACCAAACUGAUAUAAGCAUUAAAAUAACGGAGAACAGCAGUAAAUUUAAAAACAUUAUUGGCUGUUUAUUUAUUUAGACUGAGUUGCUGAACAGAAGGCCAAAGGUUUAAAUGAUGACGUGCCAAUGAACAUACAGCUCUUAUCUUUGUUGUUAUAACAGUCGUAGUCAAGUGUAUGUAGUUAACACAUUUGCUGCCAGGAACCCCAUCAGUGAAUCACAACUGACUUUUAGUUAUGGACCUCGUGACACACCAGGGGGUCAUAUAUUAUAAGUAGUUUUAAUGAGCUAAACAUAGUAUAGUUACCCAUAUAAAUAUUAGACACCUGGGUUAAGUAAAAAAAAAGUGUGUGGUUAGCACUAGGGUAGGAAUUAGUAAUACUACUGGUGGCAGCGAACGUGUUAAGAAUAGUUGUGUAAAUAGCAAGUGCUGCUGGGUGAAUAUAAUUCCCUUGAUUAACAGUUCUCUUGCAUCUUGGGGUUUUUUGACUGGCUGUUUGAUUGGAUUUGUUACGUAGUGCCAUCCAGCUUGCAAAUACUAAUAACUUUAUUUUACGCAUUGUGCUCGUAAUAAUCAGCACAAACAGAAGAUAAUUGCAGACCAUAGAAAAUGAGAAUUUGUAAAAAAAAAAUUAUUUUUAAUGUUUCACUUUCAAAAAAAAAUGUGUAGUUCAUAUUUUUGUAUUUUCUUAAUUUAAAAAAAAAAGAUUAAUUUAAUAUUCCCAUUUCAAUAGUCUGUAAAAAGGAUAUAUAGGGUAUAUGUAUCACCUGUCAUCUAUUGUCAUUAUGUUUGUGCUAGUAAUAAAAUGUUGUUCUUAUCCUUUAA